rnacentral:rRNA from 1 species
CGGACGGGUGAGUAACGCGUGGGCAACCUGCCUCGCACUGGGGGAUAACACUUAGAAAUAGGUGCUAACACCGCAUAGCGGGCGGGGGCGCAUGCCCCUGCCCUGAAAACCCAGGUGGUGCGAGAUGGGCCCGCGUCUGAUUAGCUGGUUGGCAGGGUAACGGCCUACCAAGGCGAUGAUCAGUAGCCGGCCUGAGAGGGUGGACGGCCACAUUGGGACUGAGACACGGCCCAGACUCCUACGGGAGGCAGCAG